UACAGAGGGUGCAAGCGUUGUUCGGAAUUAUUGGGCGUAAAGGGCGCGUAGGCGGCCUGCUAAGUCGAACGUGAAAUCCCUGGGCUCAACCCAGGAACUGCGUCCGAUACUGGUUGGCUUGAAUCCGGGAGAGGGAUGUGGAAUUCCAGGUGUAGCGGUGAAAUGCGUAGAUAUCUGGAGGAACACCGGUGGCGAAGGCGACAUCCUGGACCGGUAUUGACGCUGAGGCGCGAAAGCCAGGGGAGCAAACGGG
rnacentral:rRNA from 1 species